rnacentral:rRNA from 1 species
GACGAACGCUGGCGGCGUGCUUAACACAUGCAAGUCGAACGGAAAGGCCCUGCUUUUGUGGGGUGCUCGAGUGGCGAACUGGUGAGUAACACGUGAGUAACCUGCCCUUGACUUUGGGAUAACUUCAGGAAACUGGGGCUAAUACCGGAUAGGAGCUCCUGCUGCAUGGUGGGGGUUGGAAAGUUUCGGCGGUUGGGGAUGGACUCGCGGCUUAUCAGCUUGUUGGUGGGGUAGUGGCUUACCAAGGCUUUGACGGGUAGCCGGCCUGAGAGGGUGACCGGCCACAUUGGGACUGAGAUACGGACCAGACUCCUACGGGAGGCAGCAGGGGGGAAUAUUGCACAAUGGGCGGAAGCCUGAUGCAGCAACGCCGCGUGCGGGAUGACGGCCUUCGGGUUGUAAACCGCUUUCGCCUGUGACGAAGCGUGAGUGACGGUAAUGGGUAAAGAAGCACCGGCUAACUACGUG